rnacentral:rRNA from 1 species
GCGUUAACGUUAGUCAGCGAACCUUUUUAUAGACGGAGGCGGGAGGCGAGGGGGAGCCAGACGCUAACUAAACCAAGACCAGGGCACCAAGGGGAUGGCAGAGGACAGAGUAGAACGAGAGAGGAGGGGGUUAGAACAGAGGGUGGUCUAAGCUCGUUUGGGAUCCUAAGGGAGGACGGGAGAGGUCUACCCACUCGGCGGCUCGGCUCUCCCUAGGAUAAGGAGGAAGGGGUUGAGGCUGCUGCUGCUCGGCCUCUGGAGACCUAGCCUUGCUCCUCGCCCUCCUCCUCCUCUCCUACGAGUAGCGGGCGACGGAGACGCGGUCGUCGAGCACCCCCGGACGGCGCGGCUGCUGGCAGAGUCCGGAGAGGAGUGGGAGUUGCAGAGUACGAGGCGGCGGCUCUUGGCGAAGUAAAGAGUGGAGAGAGUCGUGAAACUCCAGAGCCUCCACCCGUACGACCGUUCCACAGAGACGCAAGGGGAGCAGAGCGACGCGCAGCCGUUCCAGCUGGCGGUGCCAGGGGAGGAGACGGGUUGUUGGUAGUCCAAUAAACCCGUACACAGUAUUAGAGACUAUAUACUCCUUUCUCUUCUCCCUUCGAAUCGGAACCGGAAGACGGAAGUAGCUCGUACGCGGAAUGGAAGAGGCCACUGCUACCAACAAGUCUCCUUAACCGAGACAACUUGCUACCGGAUCUUCAAAGUCUUCAACGCUAACUUCUUUAUAGUCGACUAUUAAGACCUGCAAGAAAGGAAUAGUCCUAAAGUCUUAGAUUUUCUAACAUGAUGACCACGCGACUUUUCAGCUUCCUUACACCUUACCUCGAAGAACGUUUCUACUUUUUAGAUGAAGUCCCGUCCGGUUGGGAGAGACUAGAGUGUCCGUAGAGGUUAAGGGCUGAACUACGAAAACAAUGAUUAAAUGUACGAAUAGAAGAACGUGGUUCAUAACCUCUACGAUUUAACAACCCUAGUAGAUGACUGAAGGAGUCAUUAAGUUCGAGUGUUCCCGUUGUAAAUGUCGGGGGUAGUCAGCAAAGGUCCAGAAGUUCCAGAGCGUGGAGACGGCGAUUACGUUGUUUUCGUUCGAACUAGAUAGUUCGGUCAGACUCAGGGUCUAGGUCGUGAAAAUUUCUACCCCAAGGUUCCUGGAGAACACGUUUCCAACAACCCUCUCUCUUCGACUUCGCCGCACCCCUGACCAACCCGGGUAGUUGACGAGACUAGCUACGUUUAGGAAACUAUCGUUUCUCACAAUUGGGACUAAGUUGGUCACUCCACACACUAUCCCUCACAAGUUUUUUGUCACAGUGAGGGCGAAGAAGUAAUCUGAACGGAGAAAGUAAAGGGAACGACGGUGGAGAAAUAGGUGAGGGUCUCCCAAGAAGUCUCUUAGGUAAAUUCGGAAUGAUAACGACCACAGGCGGUACGGGUAGCAGUGACGUCAUGUCACAUUGGGGAGACGUAUACGGUCAAUGUAGACAUCUUGGUAAAGGGGUCAGUGGAAACCCGGGCGACCAUAGUUUACUUCAUAGUAGACAGAGCAGUAAAAGACGUUUCAACCUAUGUUGAUUAAGUGGAAGUGAAUUAGAAGGUAGCUAUGACGUGCUAGGAAGUGAAGUGGAGGUCGAAGGAUGAAGUUAACAAGGGGACGUACCAAGAUACCAAAGUUGUAUAGGCAAUGAAGUAGACGGCAAAGGGUGAAGUGGAGAACAAGGACAUGUACCAAGCGUCCAAGGUUGUAAAGGCAACGAAGUGGACGGUGAAGGAUGAAGUGGUAAACAAAGUAACGUAUCGAGUGUCCAAGGUUGUAAAUGUGGUAACUACAGACUAGGAUAACACGUACAGGGUCAGUAACUAUACACAAGGAGGCCAGUCCGAAUAAACCACUCAACACCAGGAAGAUAUUGAAGUGGACAAGGGGACGAGGGAUCGAACUUCGGAGACUAAGGUCUUUGGCUUAGCAACCAACUCUCCUCACGAUCCCUUUGUGAUUACUCCGAAAAUCGAAGCUGUGGUGGUAGUUCGUUGGGGGUCGAUCAGUUGUAAGAGGGACGUCAGGAAUGACUACACGGACUUUUAUAAAGAGCUAGAGGAUUACACUUGUACGUACAACCACAGGUAGCGUUGCUGGAUGAAGAAUCGAGUAGAACCCCACGAUUACACUAACCUUCACCCUACCGUCGGUACCUCGACGUGAGCCUCCUACUCCAAAGGUCACCCGUACUACGAGUACGAUACCAACGCAAAUGCCUUAAACUACUAUAGUUACCUCUGGCACUAGUCGGGGUAAAGGCCUCCUACAUCAAACGUGUACCCCAAAAGAACUCGAGAAACAACCAUACUUUACAGACUUAUAAAACUUGCCGUGAACAUAGAUGUACCAUUAUCCGAUAGACCAAAACCGUUAUGCUACUAUAUACGUCGGACCAAGGGUACCGAAGGGACGGGUCGAUUUACCGACUACACCAACAAUUUACAUUAAUCAACAAACAUGACAUAAAAUUAAACCGUUUGUUUCCCAUAAACGAGCACACGUUGAGGAGCAAAACAGAGAGGUAAAUCACGGGUUCCCUCGAACACAACUAUACAACACAGCACGCGAUGUAAUACGUCUGUUGUACCAAACCGCUCUCUAGCUUUUAUAAGGG